AACGAACGCUGGCGGCAUGCCUAAUACAUGCAAGUCGAACGAGAUCUUCGGAUCUAGUGGCGCACGGGUGCGUAACGCGUGGGAAUCUGCCCUUGGGUUCGGAAUAACGUCGGGAAACUGACGCUAAUACCGGAAGAUGACGUAAGUCCAAAGAUUUAUCGCCCAAGGAUGAGCCCGCGUAGGAUUAGCUAGUUGGUGAGGUAAAGGCUCACCAAGGCGACGAUCCUUAGCUGGUCUGAGAGGAUGAUCAGCCACACUGGGACUGAGACACGGCCCAGACUCCUACGGGAGGCAGCAGUAGGGAAUAUUGGACAAUGGGCGCAAGCCUGAUCCAGCAAUGCUGCGUGAGUGAUGAAGGCCUUAGGGUUGUAGAGCUCUUUUACCCGGGAUGAUAAUGACAGUACCGGGAGAAUAAGCCCCGGCUAACUCCGUGCCAGCCGCCGCCGUAA
rnacentral:rRNA from 1 species